rnacentral:lncRNA from 1 species
GAGCCAUCUCUCCAGCCCCCUUUGACAGCAUUUCAACCUGGUGCUUUUCCAAUGAUGUUCAGUGUAUAAUCUGUCAUGGUGAUUCAGUAAACAAUAGCCCUGGAACUUUUGGAAAGAUGGGGGCUGGCCAAAGCCUGCAUCUGCAUCCAGGGUCUGGGUGUCACCCCAGUGCCUUGCUGUCAGAGCCUGAAGGGGCCCUGCAUUCUCUGGCCUUGAUCUUACAUUUUUAUCUUCUCUAUAUUCUGAACACAAUGAGCUUAACGUUCUUGACCAUGCUCCUUCAUGACCUUGAUCCUUCACCAAUAUAGCCAAUUUAUAAACCAGGCUGGCCUUGAACUAAAUGCAUGGUCCACCUCUGCCUGGCAACCUAGUGGCUUUGUUUUACUACCUAGCCCGAUGACUGCUCCCUGUGAAGCUCCUAGCUUUGCUGCCUGGGUAUCUGCAGGAGACUCCCUGCUCAGCAGGGCCAGGGUUCCCUGGUCCAGGACCUUUUUGUCAGAAUGUCAUCUCAUGUUUCUCUUUGUGAUGAAAGUGCAUGAUGAAGACGCUUCAACAGCCUGUUCCUGCGCUGUGAGAUGCACUGUGGGUCCCUCAACAGCAUAGUCCCCAAGCCACAAUGAGAGAAGUUAGAGAACACAGCUGGUUGUCUGUGAAAAGGAGCUGAGAGGGAUGAAGUAAACGAGUGGGUGCCCUUAGCACUCAGAUACCGUGCUCAUCGGCCAGACAGACUGUUAGCGUGUUCUCGUGAAGUUUGCCGGGGUAUCUGCUGAGUUUACAAAGUCUCCUAAGGGAGUUGGCUUCAUCCUGGAGUCUUGUUCAGCCUGUGAGGAGUGCCAGAGCCACAGUGUCUAUCAACAGCUCGUUCAGGAGCCCUUCUUCCAGCUUCCUACUACACACAUCUCUCUGCUGCACAGCCCAGAAACUAAGCAUAAACAGUGGACGCCACCCACAUUGGUACUGGUUCUGUUGUCAGGGGUGAGUUUGGAAGUGGGCAUCUGGCCUUAGCCCUGCAGAAAACUUAUGAAUGGAUUCUCCCAGGCAGGACCAGGAAAGAACUCUUUACUUCUGAAAGGAAGGCACAGAAGAAAGUAGUUCUCCACUUCUGCCAAAUAAUGUCCUGUCUUUGUCUACUGCUCACGUCUCGGCAGCCAGCUUACAACCAUGAGGAGCAGGAGCUGCUGAAGCCAGUUGUCUGAAGGGGGCAGGGCAGAAGGUGCAAAGUGCUUGCAUUGUAUUUUUUAAUUAUAUUAUUUUGUCUGCACAUGUGAUAUGUGCCUGCAGGUGUGUGUGUGUGUGUGUGCAUGUGUGCAUGCAUGCAGUUGUGUGUGUGCAUGUUUGUGUAUGGAGGUCAGAUCAGAGGACAACUUUCAGGAGUCAGUUCUCUUCCUCCACUGUGGGGUCGAGGGAUCUAGCUGGUGGUGUCAGGUUUUCAUGACAAAUGCCUUUACCUGCUGAGCCAUCUUGGAGCCUGCACAUGAACUUUAAAGAUGUGUUUCAGGGGCCAUAGUGUGGCUCAGCAGUGAGGCACAUGCAAGGAUUGAUUGCUGCUACACACACACACACACACACACACACACACACACACACGCUGCAGAAAUAGCUAGCCUCAGCCUCCCUCAGCUUAUUUUACAGGUUACAUUUUCUUCUCUACUGUAUAAUUCACUAACAGUUCAGAGUGUGUUCUUGUCUUCCUUUCUCCAUUGACUUACUAAGUCCUUUUUCUGUAGCAAUUCCUCUGCUGCACUCGGAGGGAGGGAGGGAGGGAGGAUGAAUUUAUAGCUAGCGUUGAAUUUUUUCCUUCACACCAUUCUCUCUGAAGUUAUUUAAAUGUGAUUAUUUUCAAUCUUAAGGCAUAUUUGAAUUUAGACAUGGCUUGUUUAAAAAAAAAUGUAGCAUUUCCCUCUCAAAGUUCCUUAAUGGAAACUGUGAACAGCUGCACAGCUAGGAAGGAAGCUAUUCUACAAAGAACAACAUGCACGGAGAGACUUCUGGAAACCUGCGCCCAACCAGUGCAAGGGCUAAAGAGAGGACAUAGAGGAUUGGAGCCAUUGGGUUCUGCUGGAAACACAAGGUUGAAGGGGAAAAAAAAAAGUGGGCAGAGCAUGCGCAGCCCAUGGAAAGACUGACUGAACUUCACAGCUGCUAAAAUUAACUGAGGUUCCCAGUGCAAACGGAUUUAACACUGGUGGGUAGUGUGGGGUCCAGGGUGGGGGCUGCAAAUGAAUGGAAGCACCACGUGGAUCAGGGAGCCCUGCACUGGGUGCUGGAUCCCUAGCCCAGCCUGGCUGUGAGUCAGAGUAUCCCACACCCCUUGGCAGGAGCUGGCGGCUUGCAGAGCUCACAGCAUCAGAGAGGAGCUAGUGAGAGACAAGAUUCUUGCAGUCUACUCUAGGAAAAAGAAGAAUGCACGUAAAAAAUAAAAUUCUCUGUCUAUCUCUCUGCUCUCUGUCUCUGUCUGUCUCUCUGUCUCUGUCUGUCUCUCUGUCUCUCUCUUUGGUCUGGCUGGGCAUCCCUGCAUGACACGGUGGGGUGGAGAGAGAUAGAAGAAGAGGAGGCAGCAUGUUCAUCUUCUCCUCCGCCCCGUGCAACACACCUUUGUCAAAAGUUUCUUCUUCGGCCAAACCAUCUUGUAUCCCUGGUGAAUCCUCCGGCCGGAUAAGUGAGCAGGACAGGUCAUUUGCUGGAAAGAAUCUUUGAUAGCUCCUGUAGAGUAAGCCCGGUGUUCAAGACCACCUGUGGACCCAUCUUGCUUUCUGUCUAAGCAUAUUAGAUGGCAUGAGUCUCUCAUUCCUCCAGCAAUGGCUGCUGAUGCUGAGCAGGUCAUGGACCUGACUACCAGACUCCAUUGGUGCAUUACCCUUUAUUGGCUGCAAGACUUUGGUUGAGUGAAGAAUCCAGCCUCAGUUUUUUCAUCCAGAAAGUGGGCAUGGUCAUUGCACUUUCCACGUAGAAUUGCUGAGAAGAUUAUGUGAGGUAAGAAGCCUGAGACCUCACCAAGGAACUGCAUAGAAGCUGAAGCCUUUACCAUGUAAUCUGUGGUCAGAAUGAAAACCGUAAGCAUUUUGGAGGAAGGGAUACAGUCUGAAUGAACUAUGCUUCAGGGAAACUACUCAUAGCAUCUAAUAGGAACUUUAGAAUAGGUGGCAUGUAUAUGUGUACAUAUGUGUAUACAUAUAUAUUAUAAGAAGAGUUGUGGGCUGAUGAGAUGGCUCAGUAAGAGCACCGACUGCUCUUCCGACGGUCCAGAGUUCAAAUCCCAGCAACCACAUGGUGGCUCACAACCAU